AUGGUUGCUUGUAGGCGGAUGUGUCUCAGACCUAAGUUGUUGCCGCUGGACCGUGGUUACAUGCAUCCUUGCUUGGAGGCAGCAGUGCUGGGAGAUAUGCAUGUGCAAGGCGAAGAAGUGGACAAAGGCCGAAGAAGCAAUAUGUGCCUCCCUAUCGCUGCGUCCUGCUUCUUAAUAUGUUACCUUAGUUGUGGCCGCCUUAUCCCUCAUGUUGCUGAUUUAAACCUGCCCUACUCUUCUCAUAGGGUGAUCGAGCGCUGCGCUUCAGCGGGUGCCUCGCUGACGACGGGGAAGGAAGGAUCAGAAGUGACGGCUAUAGCGCUAGGAAGUUGGAAACCCUAG
rnacentral:rRNA from 1 species